rnacentral:rRNA from 1 species
GACGAACGCUGGCGGCGUGCUUAACACAUGCAAGUCGAACGGAAGGGCCCUGCUUUUGUGGGGUGCUCGAGUGGCGAACGGGUGAGUAACACGUGAGUAACCUGCCCUUGACUUUGGGAUAACUUCAGGAAACUGGGGCUAAUACCGGAUAGGAGCUCCUGCUGCAUGGUGGGGGUUGGAAAGUUUCGGCGGUUGGGGAUGGACUCGCGGCUUAUCAGCUUGUUGGUGGGGUAGUGGCUUACCAAGGCUUUGACGGGUAGCCGGCCUGAGAGGGUGACCGGCCACAUUGGGACUGAGAUACGGCCCAGACUCCUACGGGAGGCAGCAGUGGGGAAUAUUGCACAAUGGGCGGAAGCCUGGUGCAGCAACGCCGCGUGCGGGAUGACGGCCUUCGGGUUGUAAACCGCUUUCGCCUGUGACGAAGCGUGAGUGACGGUAAUGGGUAAAGAAGCACCGGCUAACUACGUG